rnacentral:rRNA from 1 species
UACGGAGGGUGCAAGCGUUAUCCGGAUUCACUGGGUUUAAAGGGUGCGUAGGUGGGCAGUUAAGUCAGUGGUGAAAUCUCCGGGCUCAACCCGGAAACUGCCAUUGAUACUAUCUGUCUUGAAUAUCGUGGAGGUAAGCGGAAUAUGUCAUGUAGCGGUGAAAUGCUUAGAUAUGACAUAGAACACCAAUUGCGAAGGCAGCUCACUACACAAAGAUUGACACUGAGGCACGAAAGCGUGGGGAUCAAACAGG